rnacentral:rRNA from 1 species
CGGGUGAGUAACACGUGGGUGAUCUGCCCUGCACUUCGGGAUAAGCCUGGGAAACUGGGUCUAAUACCGGAUAGGACGAUGGUUUGGAUGCCAUUGUGGAAAGUUUUUCGGUGUGGGAUGAGCUCGCGGCCUAUCAGCUUGUUGGUGGGGUAAUGGCCUACCAAGGCGUCGACGGGUAGCCGGCCUGAGAGGGUGUACGGCCACAUUGGGACUGAGAUACGGCCCAG